GUGCAAUUAAUGAUUGUGUAUGAGGAAGAAGGGCUUGGAAAGUUCUUUCAUUUUAUUUUUUCUUCCUCUUUGCCUGGAGGUUGUGCUUUUGUCUCUGGGGGAGGGAAACAUAUUUGUUCUUGUAGAGCCUGCAGGGCAUUCUGUGCGGUGGAACUCUUCUAGUAGUUUUCACAAUGAAAAAUGCUGUAGGAUUUGUUGAGCCCAAGACCAACUGAUGUGAAAGUAUCUUUCCUCGGGGAAAGACUCAAUUACCCGUGAAGACUUUAAGUGAAAUGAGAAGCUGGUCUUGCCUUAUGUACACUACAGCCACAAUGAAAGUCAAGGAAAAUUUGCUAAAUGUGCUGGAGAUUUAAAGCCCAACUGUUUCAUCUGAGGAAAUCCUCGGCGUACCAACAGCAUUCAGAUUGCCUUUUAUCAAUAUCCCAUUAGUUUCAUGAGACAUCUCAGCCUUCAAUACCAUCCCUAGAAUUAAACUAUGUUCCCUGGGAGAAAAGAUAUAGAGGGCUAUGUUUGGAAAGCAAAAAUCAAUUUCCUGUGUUUUAUAGUUCCUCAUCAAGUUGCAAGGUGAUUAAGAGCAUGAUAUUAAAAGGCUUUGGCUUUUGGCUUGAUAUCAAUUUCAGAUAAAUACAUUUAAGUUAAAACUAAGUAGUAUCAUAAAAUAAAACAAGAAGGAUUAAGUGUUUGUACAGCUACUGUACUCUAUAUUUGGUGCUAAUUCCUAGUAUGAAGUAUUAUCAGUUGUUUUGCAUUAAAGCUACCAAGGCAGUUGUCAUUUAAAUAAAAUGUUCCUUGAACUGCUGUGAUUUAAAUCAUUGCCAUUGUUUUUGUCAAGGCCACCAAAACCGUGGUACAGACAGACAUCAUGUAAGGGAGAGAUUUUAUUCUGUUUGGUUGUUUUGUUUUUUUUUUUUUUUAACUCUUCUGAAAUUGGUUAGAAUUUAAUCAAGAAAUGAGUAAUGAUAACUUCAAAAUGUUUGUAUACUCCUGUGAUGAUGGGUGAGGGAAAAUGAUUGCUUGUCUCUCUGCAAGUAUUCUGCUGACUUGUGCUGGGAUGUUUCAUGUGUUGAAAUAAAUCCUCUCUGUGGCUAAUGGUCCUUGUCUGAUGUGAACAAAACUGAAAAAUAAAGAGACAAUAAUGAUGCAA